UAAAUUAAAAAGUAAUUUUAAAAUAGAAAAUAUAUAUUUAAUUUAAAAAAUAUUAAAAAAAAUCAAUUAAAAACAUAUGUUACGGAUUUUUUUUAAACAAAACAAAAUUUUAAAUUUUUUGGGAUUAGGGUUUCAUUGUAACACCUCUCUCUCCCUCUCAUUCUUCUUCGUCUUCUUCAUCUACACCAGGCGGCUCUUGGGCAACAAGAUCUGACGAAGUCUCCCAGGUGAAGAGCUUUGAGUUUCGAGGGAGGCUCUCGGACGGCGGCUCUUGGGUAAUGACCUCUGAGCUUCAACGACAGCUUAGCGACGAAGUGGGAGUCGAGCUAAGGUUGGGGAUCAGGAGUGGGAGCCGAGCCACAACGACGGAGCACGGGGCUUCUACAAGGUCGACGGAGCUCAUGGACGACAGGAACAAACUCAAACCAGAUCUGAGUUUUUUUCUUCUUCUGUGAUUAACAUACACGUGGGAUACAUGUGACCAUUUAAGUGAGUAUGAUUUGUUCGACCAUCGACUAGAAGAGAAUUCACUCAGCAGGCAGUACAUUUCAUGGGUGACCAGUCUGGUCGCAGCAUUUGAUAUAUUUCCUUCAGAUAUGUAAUAUUGCAUUUAUGUAAUAAUUGCAAUUUCCAUUGUUAUUUAGAUAUGCAUGUAUUAAAUGUAAUUGAGGCCUAUCUGCCCAUGUAGAACUCCUUGAGCCUAUAAAUAAGAAUCAAGGGGCUCAAGAGAGAGGAUUUUUUUUCUUUUGGAACUUUAGAAUUCUAAGAGAGAAACAUAGUGUUUUUAUCCACCAUACUUGUAUUCAUCCUGAAGCUUGUGAAAUUCGUGAACCCUAGUUCAUUGAUCACAGUUCUUGGGAUUCUACAUCAAUGAGAACACUAAGUGGACGUAGGUUAUUAC